UACGUAGGGACCGAGCGUUGUCCGGAAUCAUUGGGCGUAAAGAGCGUGUAGGCGGCCACUUAAGUCCUGCGUGAAAUCUUGCGGCUCAACCGCAAGCGGUCGUGGGAAACUGGGUGGCUAGAGUGCGGGAGAGGAGAGUGGAAUUCCUGGUGUAGCGGUGGAAUGCGCAGAUAUCAGGAAGAACACCCGUGGCGAAGGCGGCUCUCGUGGAACGCAACUGACGCUGAGACGCGAAAGCGUGGGGAGCAAACAGG
rnacentral:rRNA from 1 species